rnacentral:rRNA from 1 species
UACGUAGGGGGCAAGCGUUGUCCGGAUUUAUUGGGCGUAAAGAGCGUGUAGGCGGCUUCACAGGUCCGCUGUGAAAACUCGAGGCUCAACCUCGAGCUGUCGGUGGAAACCGUGUGGCUAGAGUCCGGAAGAGGAGAGUGGAAUUCCCGGUGUAGCGGUGAAAUGCGCAGAUAUCGGGAAGAACACCCGUGGCGAAGGCGGCUCUCGUGG